UAGGGAAUAUUCCGCAAUGGGCGAAAGCCUGACGGAGCGACGCCGCGUGAGCGAUGAAGGUCUUCGGAUCGUAAAGCUCUGUUGUUAGGGAAGAACAAGUACCGGAGUAACUGCCGGUACCUUGACGGUACCUAACCAGAAAGCCCCGGCUAACUACGUGCCAGCAGCCGCGGUAAUACGUAGGGGGCGAGCGUUGUCCGGAAUUAUUGGGCGUAAAGGGCGCGUAGGCGGUCUCUUAAGUCUGAUGUGAAAGCCCCCGGCUUAACCGGGGAGGGUCAUUGGAAACUGGGAGACUUGAGUGCAGGAGAGGGAAGCGGAAUUCCAUGUGUAGCGGUGAAAUGCGUAGAGAUAUGGAGGAACACCAGUGGCGAAGGCGGCUUCCUGGCCUGUAACUGACGCU
rnacentral:rRNA from 1 species